rnacentral:lncRNA from 1 species
UGACAGUCUGCCUGUGGUUCUAUUAUUCUAACCAUAGUAUGUAUCACCCCAGGCUUGGGUAGAACAUAAAUCUAUUAACUGGAAGUUGGACUCAUCUGUAUCCCAUUACCUUGGACUUUCAGCAAUGUCUUUGGGUGUUAAAAGGCUCUGCUGCCUUUGCUUUCACUACCGGCUUUGCAUGCGAGAUCUUCUCUCACUGUCAGUCCACAGUACUCAGCACUGGACACACUACUGAAUGAUCUACUCAGCCUCUCUUAGUUUCUUAGCUCAAAGAAGGAAAGGAGAAAAAAAAUGUCUUUUUGAUCUACUUGCUUCCAUGAGAAAUCACAGUGAGUGUAUCCUUUUACCUACAGCAGGAACCCACAGGACUGUCUUUCCCAUAACCAGAAGAAGGUCCCAUCAACUAUUUCUCGUCCUUUCUCUUCUCCUCUCCUCCAGUCUUAAACCACUGGGAGCAUCCAUCAUCGACUGAGGGCUGGCUGUUGUGUGCCUGUCACUGUGCUCAUUUGUCCUGGGAAUACAAGGCAAGCGUAAUACAAUAUAGUUUAUUCAAAGGGUCUGUAGCUUCUGACCUUCAAAGGGGAGUGCUAAGG